rnacentral:lncRNA from 1 species
UCAUACUUUACUUCAAUAACGGACAGUUUUACCACCACUCGCAACCAUAGACAUUUCGAGGUUUGUGAUGCCGCAAGGCUUGAGUCUAUAUAUACAUGCAGUUUUAAGAGUAGAAUAGAAGCAGAUGCUAGAGAAGGAUUGAAUUCCAAGAGUUUGCACCCCCUUUCCUUGUUGGAUGUGGAAAUGAUGCAAACAAUAUAUUCUACCUACACUCAAAUUCGCACAUUACUAUUUGAUUGACGCGACACCUUGAAGCUAGUUUGCAUAUGACAAAUAACAAAACAUAAUAGUGUGUCACAGGUAUAUUACACAUUGGCUCAUGAUUCCUGAGCGGAGGGGUGAGGAUCUUCUGGUCGGUUGCUCGAUCACAGGUCGCCGCCGCCUCACCUCGCGUCCCCCCGCCUUUUGCCAUUCCACGACUCAUAUCACUAGCUAGCUCAAUGGCGUCAGAUUCUUGCGGACACAAACAAAUACUAAUGGAUAGAUACAGAAUGCUCCAACACGGUGCCUGGUUUAUAGCCACUACGUCUCGCCUUCACUAGGAAGGGUGGUUUUAGCCACACAUGCCUUUUCCACCUAGGAAGGGUGCCUCUAGGAUCACUCCAUGCGAUGCCUUCGCCCGAGCAGUCCCCAUGGAAUGAAAUUGGUAGUUCUUGGCUUGUUGCAUCAUUUGGUUAGCACAUAUGUUGGUUUGCUAGGAAUUAAGGGUAUUUGAUUAGCUUACUCUCAACCUUUGUGAAUUGUGAUGGACCUUUAUGCGGGUAUUUUGAUUUGAAUGAUUUCUGCAGGGAUUUUGUUGAGUUAGAAUAUCUAGUAUUCCCCGGGUCCAUAAUCUACUAUAGUUUGGAUAUUGCCACAAUCUCCAUUAUGUAUCGUUAACCUUUAUCUUGAAAAAAGCAUGGAAUUUAUAUUAUAAAUAAAAGGGAAAUUCAAUUUUUCAUAUAUCUGUACCCAAAAUUAGAAAAUGUUGAAUACAAGCCUUUCUAGGAAGUCAUGCGUUUAUGAAAACUAUAUUUUGUGUGUAAGAUUUUGAUUGUAGGGUUGUCAAUUUUAUCCAAAGAACCCAUUGUACCAUGCCCCAUAAAAGUUUCCCAUUAACUUAUACCUCUUAGGGGGGGAUUCUUAUUUGGUGCACUCAAAAUACCUAAGUACAAAGUACAUCCGGCCAAGCUAGAGUGUGGACGAUGAAUAGUCUUCGAACCAACAGAGGAACCAAAUAAUGAACAAUUUGCCAACAAUGAUAGAAACUCAAGUCUAUAACAUUAUUUGCCUUGGUGACUUCAGGGUAAAAUUGGAAAAGCAUGUGAAUAAGUCCCACAUCUUCUCAAGUAAAAAAAAUGCCCCACACCUCCGUACUUGCAAUAUUUAAGUGCAAACAUUAUUAUGUUAUGUUUCCUACUAAUGUGAGAACGCGCAAGGGAUGAAUGUGGUGAUUGAAACGGGGAUGAGGAAAAGAGCAACGAAAAUUGAAGCGGGAUUGACAAAUCAUAUUGGCGACUUAGAGGACGGUUAUAAUUUCAAUAUAAUAUAACGUAAUUUGUACUACCGCUUUGAGUUCCCGCGGUUGCAGUUCUCAAGAUGAUAACAACACUGAAAGGACGUGGAUGUCGCCUAGAGGGGGGUGAAUAGGCGCUUUAAAAUAAUUAAGGUUUAGGCUUGAACAAAUGCGGAAUAAAACUAACGUUUAAUAUGUCAAGCACAAAACCUACAAACAACUAGGCUCACCUAUGUGCACCAACAACUUAUGGUAAGCAAGAUAAACAACUAAGUGAUAGCAAGAUAUAUUACAAUAAAUAAUAUGUCUAUCACAAAGUAAAGUGCAUAAGUAAAGGGUUCAGGUAAGAGAUAACCAAGGCACGGGGAGAUGAUGGUGUAUCCCGAAGUUCACACCCUUGCGGAUGCUAAUCUUCGUUAGAGCGGUGUGGAGGCACAAUGCUCCCCAAGAUGCCACUAAGGCCACCGUAAUCUCCUCACGCCCUCGCACAAUGCAAGAUGCCGUGAUUCCACUAAGGGACCCUUGAGGGCGGUCACUGAACUCGUACAAAUGGCAAACCUUGGGGGCGGUCACCGAACCCGUACACGUGGCAACCCUUGGGGCGGUUACCGAUACCCGUACAAAUUGCUCGGGGCUAUCUCCACAACCUAAUUGGAGGCCCCGACGCUUGCCCGGAGCUUCACACCACAAUGAUUGAGCUCCGAGUCACCACCAAGCUUCUAGGAUGCCAAAGUAUCCACGAAGAACAAUAUGUAGGGUACUAAGUACCAAAGGUAGUAAGCUUCUCAACUUCUCACUUCCACGUAUCACCGUGGAGAACUCAAACCGAUGCAACUAAUGCAAUGGCAAGAACACACGAAGUGGUCAAGUCCCUCAAACUCAAAUCCCUCCACAACAACAAAAGCUAUGGAGAAAUAUGAGAGAAAGAACAAGGAGCUCACAAAGAACUCCAAGAUCUAGAUCCAAGGGGUUCCCCUCACAUAGAGGAGAAAGUGAUUGGUGGAGAUGUGGAUCUAGAUCUCCUCUCUCUUUUCCCUCAAGAACAAGCAAGAAUCAUUGGAGGGAUUAAGAGUUAGCAAGCUCUAAGAAUGUCAACAAUGGAGGUAGAACAAGAGCUCAACAGAUGGAUAAAACCAAGGGGAAGAAGACCCCCUUUAUAUAGUGGGGGAAGGAAUCAGACCGUUAGCCCCACUUUCUGCCCGAGCUCCAGCGGUACUACCGCUGGCAGCAGCGGUACUACCGCUGGCACUCUAGCAGUACUACCACUGGCCCCAGCGGUACUACCGCUGGGCCCCUGGUAGUGCAACGGCACUACCACCGCCAAGAAAGUCUUCGCAAAAAGGUCCGUCCACGAACGACCACUAGGCAGGCGGUACUAAGCUCCUGGAGCGGUACUACCGCUGACCAGGGGCGGUACUACCGCCAGCCAGCGGUACUACCGCUAGGGCCAGCGGUACUACCCCUAGGUCCAGCAGUACUACCGCUCGCCACUGAAACAGCCAUAACUUUAGCAUACGAGCUCCGAAUCGAGCAAACCCAAGCUUGUUGGAUUCAGGACGAUAAGGGCUAUCCAAACAGCGAGAAUUUAAAGCUAUAUAUCUCUGAAUAUUACAAGAAAUUAUUUGGUGCACCAGAGGAGACUUGGGUCUCUUUGGAUGAAAGCACAACUCAUGAGAUACCUCAACUCAAUUCAGAUGAGAAUGAGGUGCUAUCAGCCCCAUUUACCGAGCAGGAGGUGUAUGACUCAAUAGUACAAAUGAAACAAAAUAAAGCUCCGGGGCCAGACAGGUUUCCGGUGGAAUUUUAUAAAAAAUUACGGCAUGUCAUUAAAGGGGAUUUAUUGCCUAUGUUCCAAGAUUUAUUUAAUGGCCAUUUAUAGAUAUUCCACCUUAACUUUGGAACAAUUACGUUGUUGCCCAAGAAGGCGGAGGUUGUAUGCAUCGACAGUUCAGACCGAUAUGUUUGCUCAAUGUCAGCUUCAGAUUUUUACAAAGGUUGGCACGAAUAGGUUAACGAAGAUAGCUCAUUGAGUAUUCCAACCAACGCGGACGACGUUUAUGCCUAAGAGACACAUCUUAGAUGGUGUUGUUGUCCUGCAUGAAACGCUGCACGAAAUUCAUACAAAGAAACUAGAUGGGUUUUUCUUUAAAUUGGAUUUCGAGAAAGCAUAUGAUAAAGUCAAAUGGCCAUUUCUUCAACAUGCCUUACGUGUUGGGGAACGUCGCAUGGGAAACAAAUCUUAAGACCCUGCGGUUAUGAAUAUGCCAAUGAUAUAAAGAUGUGAGUCCUCUAAGAAUGAAGAACCGGCAAAAACUCCAACAUCGAAAACAUCAUAGUAGUUGCAUAUGGACUCCGUUUUCGAUGAACUCGAGCUUGUCAUGAAGAUGACCAUAAGCUCUAAAACUCACAAAGAGAAACACCAAAUAAGAACCAAGAAGUAUGAUGCAAGGAUGCAAAUGGUUUGAGCUCUCAACGAACGAUACGAUCAAGCUACUCACUUGAGAGCCCCCCUUGAUAGUACACGCUAGUUUCAGUACAGGCUUUACAAAGAUCAAUCUCAGACCACACACCACUCAUAGUUGACUCACGGGAUGCCAACUAUGCGGGAAAUAUAAUUUUUUUUCUCUUUUGAGCUAAGUUGGUUUGGGAGAGAAGGAUUCAUGGAUCUCAUAGCUAACGAAUGGGCUAGGGAUUCGGGUGGAUCUACGAAUAUAGAAAGAUGGCAAAACAAAAUCUGAAACAUGUGCCAGUUCUUAAGAGGAUGGGCGAAAAAUGAGAGUGUCAUAUAUAAAAAGUAAAAAAGAAAGACUCAUUCAUCUGAUUGAUGAAUUAGAUGUGAAAGUUGAGUCUGCUUAGCUGAAUCUGACUGAUAGGAAUAACAAGAUUGAAGCUGAGAAGAAUUUGCAAAAAAUAUUGAGAGAAGAGGAGAUGAAAUGGGCACUUCGUGCUAAGGUGCCAAAGGUGGUUCAUUGGGACGAUAACACAAAAUUCUUUCACAUGAUUACUAAUGGCAAACAUCGAAAGAAAAAAUAACCCAACUUGAGCAAGAUGAAGGAACAAUAGUAGGUCACGAGAAUUUAAAGCUAUAUAUCUCUGAAUAUUACAAGAAAUUAUUUGGUGCACCAGAGGAGACUUGGGUCUCUUUGGAUGAAAGCACAACUCAUGAGAUACCUCAACUCAAUUCAGAUGAGAAUGAGGUGCUAUCAGCCCCAUUUACCGAGCAGGAGGUGUAUGACUCAAUAGUACAAAUGAAACAAAAUAAAGCUCCGGGGCCAGACAGGUUUCCGGUGGAAUUUUAUAAAAAAUUACGGCAUGUCAUUAAAGGGGAUUUAUUGCCUAUGUUCCAAGAUUUAUUUAAUGGCCAUUUAUAGAUAUUCCACCUUAACUUUGGAACAAUUACGUUGUUGCCCAAGAAGGCGGAGGUUGUAUGCAUCGACAGUUCAGACCGAUAUGUUUGCUCAAUGUCAGCUUCAAAUUUUUACAAAGGUUGGCACGAAUAGGUUAACGAAGAUAGCUCAUUGAGUAUUCCAACCAACGCGGACGACGUUUAUGCCUAAGAGACACAUCUUAGAUGGUGUUGUUGUCCUGCAUGAAACGCUGCACGAAAUUCAUACAAAGAAACUAGAUGGGGUUAUCUUUAAAUUGGAUUUCGAGAAAGCAUAUGAUAAAGUCAAAUGGCCAUUUCUUCAACAUGCCUUACGUGUUGGGGAACGUCGCAUGGGAAACAAAUCUUAAGACCCUGCGGUUAUGAAUAUGCCAAUGACAUAAAGAUGUGAGUCCUCUAAGAAUGAAGAACCGGCAAAAACUCCAAUAUCGAAAACAUCAUAGCGGAAAUUGUUUGAAUCUUAUUUCACCCACAAGGGAAAAACUUUGCUAGUAACAGUUCUUCCAAUUAAAUUUUCCCGUUGGUUCCAAUUUAAUUGGAGGACUAAACCUUUUUACUUUGCACCGGAAAAACGUGAAUAUAAAAAUUAAUGUACCUUUACAGAAAAAUUAUUCUGUGAAAAAUAAAAAAUCCAUGAACUUUAUUUUCCUUUUGUAAAAUCCAUGAAAUUUUCUCUUUCUGAAAAUAUUUCUUUUAUUUUCGGAACCUUUUAUUUUUCUUUGCAGAAAAAACAUGUUACUAUUACACAAAAAUAUUCUGUCAUAAUCAAAAAUUCAUGAACUUUAUAAUCCUUUUUUAAAAAAUCCAUGAACUUUUCUUUUUCUGAACAUCUUCUUUUAUUUUCAGAACCUUUUAUUUUUCUUGUCAGAAAAAUAAUAUUACAAUUCUAUCUACAUUUACAGAAACUUUGAACAUUUUUCUUUUCCUUUUUUAAACAUAUUUUCCUAGGAAAAAAUGCCUAGAAAAAACUUUUGACUCUGCCAAAAACUUGACAGAAAACAAAAUUGUCAUUUAAAAAGAAAAGGCCAGCAUGGGCCGGCCUGGGUGCCGCCAGCCUGCAUUGCCCCUUCUCGGUCAGGCGCGCCGCAGCUCUUGUGCAGCCCUAGGUGGCCUCAGCCUGGCGCGACGGAUUCGGCCCAAAAGACCCGUGGUGGCCUGCAGCCUCUUUUAGCUAGGGUUUCAGCCUCGGCCGUCGGAUGAGAUCCGACGGUCAGGCGUGGCUUCGGUAAAACAAAAAGGGCUAGAGCCCAUCCCCUGCCGAAACCCUAACGCCAUUUGCCCCCUCAGCCGCUCGUUCUUUCCUUGUUGCUCUCGUCUGGCGAGACAAUCCCGUGGGUGGCCGAGCCCCUCUUGUUCCUCGCGCCGGUCGCUGCCAUGCCCCGUCGAAGAGGAGGCCGCCGGCCAUCACGCCGCGCCUCUCUUUCCCUCUCCUUGCCCUCGCACGGUGGCAUGUAUGCCCCGCCGAGGAGGUCUCUGGUGCCCCGCCAGACCUCUCGAGGGAGUGGUGGUGCCUGCUGGCCACUUCUUGCGCGGAGGCCACCAUGCCCCGCCGAGAUCUGGCUUCUUGUCGUGGUGGUUGCGAGGUGGCAGCCGGCCGCCGGCCGCGGCGACCAUGGGUCCCGUGCCGUGCGUGCCAUGCUGCCUUCCUUAUCUCUCCCCUGGAGCCAUGACCUUCCCCUCGCCGGCUGCGCAUCCGCCUUGCGUUGGGUGCGCCGCCGUCGAGCGGUCGGCUGUGGUUCCUUCUUCUUCCUUUAUUUACUGUGAUGGAGAGAGAGAUCCAGCGGACCUUUACUUUUCGGUUCAUGGCAGCUCCGUUGCCAUCCCCCUCGCCAGCUGCACGUCCCCCUUGCGGUGAGCGUGCCGCCGUCGAGCGGUUUGGUGAUGAAGCUUUUUGCCCCUAUGGGGUGAUAUUUCGUUUGCCCUUUCUUUGCAUGUUCCCCUCAUCCCGUUUCUUUUUGCCUUUUCGGAUCCGAUCCGAUUGCUUUCAUCAUUUUUUCUUUUGGAUCUAGAUCCAUUCUUUGCCCCCGAAGGAGUGUCUUCUUCUUCCCCACACCUCGGCUUGCCGAUGCGUAGGGGAUCGAGCGGAACGGGCGCGGCCUUGCGGCGGCGCUACUUUGGGGGGGGGGGGGGGGGGGCCAUCUUCGGUUUCUUUGCCCAUCUAGGGUUCAUAUCGGGGAGGGGAAACUUUUCUUGUACAUGUUUCAACCGAAACUCAUCUAAAGCCUCGUGGCUCUGAUACCAUUGAUAGAUCCCGUGGAUCGACAAGGCUAGAUGUGUUCGGUGUGAUGUGGAGAUUUGUUACCUUAUCCCGUACUCGAUGAGCCCCCUCCGGCUACCGUCGUGAGGUGGUGACGACGAUGGGGAAGGAGAGAGAUCCGGUAGUGGCGGUGAUGGACUUCCCAUCGCUUCAGUGCUACCUUCUGGAUCGGAUUAGGGUUAGGAGUGGGGAACCAGUGGCGGUGGCGAACCUCAUAACCCGUGCCAUGGUCCACACCUCCUCUACAUAUAGCACUGCGCGACAGGGGCCCACCAGCCUUGCUUGGGCUGGACGCCCCCGAUCAGGGCGUGAGUCAAGGUCCAAUGGGCCGUUGGGCCCAUUGGGAAAGAGAUCAAUCUAACAGGUACAUGUCAAUAGCUCAAGAAGCCAGGCAAACUGGGGUUGCUGCUUUUUGUGACUUGGGAGUGCGUAUACUAUGAAGAAGGGUUUUCCCCUAAAUAAAUACUAUAGAUCUUGUACGCCACGGGUGAUUUCUUUAUAUGAAAUCGGAGCCCGCCACCCACCUUUUGCUAAAAAAAGCAACCAUCACUUACAUUAAAGCAACUAACUAAUACAAACGCAAGCCCCACACACAACAAGGCAAGGUACAAAAAGCAACCAUCACUUACAUUCAAGCAACUAAUUAAUACAAACGGAUUCCCCACACACAACAAGGCAAGGUACAAGAAUGUCGGACACCGACACACAAACUCAACAACUAUCAAGACCUACAAGAUGUGUAAAAGAGAUCCCUUAGAGCCGACGAAGACCACCACCAAGAUGAGCUAUCGUCGAGGAAGAUGUGCGACAGACAAUGCCGGACCGAGGACUUCAAGACGAUGCCUCGAAGAAGGGCACGGCCAGAGAAAUAUCGCCACUUGCUGAUCCGAUCUAAAGAUCAACUUUUCACCCGGAGGUAGAUUGGAAGACCGGGAGCACCAUGACGGAGCCUGCAAAGAGGAACACGAGGUACGCGGAUGCCUUCACCAUCGACCAGUGCACAGACUGCGCAAGUGAUGUACCCCGGUGCUUUAACCCCUCCGUUGCAUCCCCGGUACGCCAACCACCUGUAAGCAUCAUGUCUGAGUGGUCAUGUUUGAUCUCCCGCAUCCAAGCCAAUCAAUCCGCCCACGACCAACACGACUCCCACCGUCAGGAUUGCAGUCGUGCCACCAGAUCACACCGAGAGCCACCAAAGGUCAUGACUUUGACCAUAUCCAUAACCCCCACCACCCUUGGAACUGUGGGCGGCCACCCUGCCUGGAGAGGAACCGCGACCACACAUCAACCGAGCGAACCGGUCCCUCCUACCAGCUCCCCCCGAAACCACCAUGCCUCGCCCUCCAAGUCAAAGGCCCGGACCAGCAAGAGAGCCCUGGACACCGUCCGAUGCCAAAGAGCAGGGAGUGCGGAACCGCCACCGUCGCAGCCAUCACAGGCCACUAGGGAGGCCCUCCUGUGCCGCAAGGGCCCGACUGGACAGGGCCACCCACCGCCACCGCUGCCAUGCCGUCUUCCCACCAGAUAUCCACGGCCGGAGAGGCCUCCCGCGACCUGAUCGUCCGUGACCCGCAGCGCCAGACGUGGCGUCGAGGCGCUGCCUCUAAGCAGCAACCGUCGUCAUCACCCACAAACCUACACCACCAUCAUACCGCCCAUCUCCUGAUGACAUGCCGCCUUCUUCGGCCCACUCUGGAGUGUCGCCCCGCCCGGCAUCGAGUGAUGUUUCCAAACACGUGAGAUCUGGCCCGCGUCGCACCCCUCACGCGAGGAGAAGAAUGGCCCCCGCAGCCUUCGGCGAUGACCGGGCUUCGCCCGCUCGCGCCCCAAGCGACGAUGAGGGAGAGGGAGAGGAGGACGGGGUGGAGGAGGUGGCGCUAGGGCUGCCUCUUGGACGCUCGCGGGGGCGUCUUUGGAGUAGGGGAUCAAAAUUAUAGCAAAAGAAGAAUUAGAGGGAAAGCACCUUAUGAAUGCGUGUGUGUGUAUAUACACAUCCUUUUACAAAGCAUGAUUCGACUGCAGACUCAUUUUAUUAAUUAAUGAUAUAAAUGAUGACUAUAGUAAUGUCGAUACUUAUCUAAAUCGUCGUAGAUGGUACCCACUUUGGGGAUUUAAUCAUACUGAUGAUCAAUGCAUGACAUAGGAUUGUUCUAAUGCUUUGCAUUUUUUGGGUUCUGCAUUGCAAUCGUAUGAUGAAUACAUUCAUAAAUGAUUGCAUGGAUUGGUCGAUAUGAUGACCUGGGUUGAUCCUCCUUUUUUCAAAAAUAUAUUGAAAUGAGCGUUUAUUGUCAAGAGAUAUAGAAGAUUUGAUGAGGUGCCAUUAUGCAUUCUAAUGAAUGCAAAUAUAAGAAAAUGUACUACUUGAAGCCCACACAGUGAGGUCUUUUUUUUACGAAAAGCUAUAGCUGAAGUGCUUCAUUGAAUUUAAGAAGAGGAGUUUUAGCGACUACACAUGGGAUACAAACAUGAAGUCCACAUGGUUUUACCACUAGAGACAGCAAUUGGCAUCUCAUCACCUCCGAACAUCCCAAACCAGGACUCCAGGAGCUGCCUGAGUGAGCUGGUAUGCUUGGAAGGGAUUGGAUUCUAAAGAAGUUCACGCCACCUUUUGCUUUUGGCCCAAAAAAUAGUCAGCAUAGACAACACAUAUUCUAGAGUAACAUUGUUAGAGUCUUGGGAUCGAAGGUCGUAGCCAUGGUCUGGAGGUGCCUGAGGGUCGAUGAAGGUCCUCCGGGGCAGGCGUCUUGCCGGUGUUGAGAGAUAACAGAGGAGGAGAAGGGGAAAAGACUAAACAUUAUUGGUUACUUAAGGACUCUCGUACAGACCAACUCUCCUUAUAUUAUGGAGAGUUCAACUUCUGUUUUCCUUCCUAAAGAAAACCUAUACUAGUAGGAAUUAAUAUAUCUCAAAUACUUAAUAGUGGAGUUGCAUUAUUUUGUUAAAACGAGCCCAUCACCGUGCAACCGUUCAAUAUACAUGUGACUAUGGGACGGCAUGGUAACUAGUGUGGAAGGAGGCAGCCUACAUGGCACCGGUUAACUCCAUGAAUGUGGCGAUGUCAUUCCACUUUAUUUCGUAUCAUUUUUUUCAAAACACUAUAAUUUUUAAACUGAGUGUCAGAAAGAAGAUCCGUUGUUACUGUUAGGCUUUUUUCGGUGAGCUCUUCAAAACUAAAUCCCAUAUGGAUAGGUUUCAGCAAACUUUUUUGACAACAUUGGGUGAUAUUGAGACAACUUUAAUGCUAAAGAAAAGCAACUCUCGUGUCAUGGUGUUCCAUCAAAGGACAUAAGUUACCUAUAAUGUCGAAAACAAAAUGUCGGAUAUCUACCAUGAUUUCAAAUUUUGAAACUAUAUGGGAUGGAUGGUAUGAGAAUAUUUUUAUCUUAUUUUCUAGGUUAGUAUGCCCGCCUAUGAUACUUAGCACGCAGGUGUUGACUAAUCAGGUCGCUGGUGUUGACUACUUGCAAAAGUCGAAACAGAUCACAAGAUGCAUAGGGGUAAAGAGACAAUUCAUAGGGGGAGGAUCAGGCACUUGCCCGCAAACCUAUACAAGUUGUCCAAUUUUUACAUGAUUUGCUCACAAAAAUUAUUGAAAUCUCUAGAUAUAAUGAUGAAAAAUACACAUGAGUUGCUUGUUGAAUGCAUUGAAGUUGCAGAAUAACACACAAAAAUUGCUAUGUUUUUUUGUGAUACUCGAGUGUAAUUAUGGCAACUAUUUACCAAUAACACGCAACUUGACAUCAACCGUAGGCAAUUUAUAGUAUCUAUAUGCAUCUGAGCAUCAAUCGUAGGCAACUGGCCAUCAAUAAUAGGCAAGUGAGCAUCAAAGUUGAGCAAUUUCAUAGUUUUUGUAAACAGUGGAGCAUUAAUUAUAGGCAAUAGAUCAACAUUAAUAGACAACUGGGCAUCAAUGUUUGGCAAUUUUAUAAUAUUUACAAGCAAUUGAGCAUCAACCGCACGUAACUAAUCAUCAAUUACACGCAAUUGAACAACAACAAUAUAAAAGUUGAGAUAAUGUUGGCAAGAUUCACACAUAAACAUAACGAAUGAAGUUACUUGUAUAUAGCACUAAAAUGUGCCUCAUGUUUUCUUUGAUUUCCUCAUUUUUACGAAAAUCAACCAAAUAGGAAUGCCUACUAGGACAAGAAGGAAAAAAGUUGAUUUCCUUAACACUAAAGUUGUCUCAGUAUAAUCUAAAGUUGCCAAAAAAAAGCCGGCGGGAUCUAGUUUUGAAGAGGUUGUCACGAGAAACCCAGGUUUGAAAACGGAUCUCAAUCCUGACGCUCGGUUCAAAGGAUGUAUCUUUUUGAAAAAGAAAUAAAGUCAUUAAUUGUACUAGAAGAGGGAAUCAGGUCGCACUGGAUUCCAUUUUGGGAUGUCCUAAUCGCAUGUGGGUUUGUUGGUUCUUUUUUUGGAGAGCGCUCACUUCUGCAAACUCGCGCUGAUGCGCCAGCAGAUCGGGUCUUUGAUAUAAUUCCAUCAGGGAACAAUCCUGCAUGGAAGUAAUAACUAGGACUACUGCCCCUACUUGGUCGUAGUUUAUCCUUCUACACACUCGGGGUUUAGAGCAUCUACAACCACGACUUGCAAAUCCCCUCAAACGUCCGCGGAAGCGUCCGGUUAGUGACCGGGCGUGUCUUCUAUUUGUCCGUCUGCGCAGCCACAUUCCUCAUUUUCUUCCUCAUAUGUCCGGUCACUUGCAUGUGAUUGAUGGAGAGGAAGAGAGAGAAAGAAAAGAAUGAAUAAAUAAAAUAAAAAGGUGGUUGGGGCGGGGUUGCGUCCUCUGUAGCGGACUGACCGCCCGGGCGCGUCCGCGAGCACUCAUAUCCUAUCCAUAUUUGAGAUAGAUAUGAGGGUUCGUGGACAGCCCGGACAUAUAGGGACGAUAUGUGGGGUCUGGUUGGGUCAAUUGUUUUCUUUUCUCUCAUGUGUGAUCACUUACCGGGCGCGUCCGAAGACAUAUGAAGGACUAUUUGAAAAAUUCGGUUGUAGAUGCUCUUACGGCUGCUAUAAUAGAUACCCCACGUAACAUAUCUCCCCUCCUCAUCCGAUGACACGUUUACGGUCCUUGAAAUCCUCCAAAGGCUCCCAGGUAGCCUCUUCCUCUGAUGUACAUGCCCACUGAAUAAGAACAUGGUGCACUCCACGUUGAAGACUGAUCUUCAAUGCUUUAUGGGGUUGAAGAACCACCUUACCAUUUUAUAUAACAGGCAGAGGGGGAGCAGCAGCAGGUGGUGUCCCAUGGAAUUUCUUCAACCAGCUAACAUGGAAGGCAUCAUUAAUCCGAGCUCCAUCCAGAAGGUCCAAUAUUUAUGCCACAAAUCUAAUGUAUUCAAGGACUUUGUUCGGUCCAUAGAACCUAGCGGCAAGCUUGCCAUAAUUGUGUCCUAGAACAGAUGUUGUUGGUCAUCGCUGUAGGCAUCAUGAUGACAUCGAUGGCGAAGAGGCCUAGAGAGGUCGGUGCAUUAGUUUCUGUUUUAAAGAUGGAUUGGUGAAGGACGACAGCGACGACACAAGAAAGUGCGUCGGACCGGUUUGUAUCCAAUAUGUGUCUUUGUUGAGGCCUUCGACUUUACAUGUUAGAUUUUUGUGUGAUGUCUAUUUGAUAUUAGGUUUGGACUAUCGACAUCCCUUCAUCAAAUGGAUAGGAGUAGCGACAUAUGUUUUUAAGAUGAUGGCUUCAAACUACAUGAUGUACUAUUUUGUAAUGUAUUUAUGAAUAAUUAAUCAAGUGACUACAUGCAUCGCCUAGAUGCACAUGCCGAGGAUAAUCCUCCUUUUCAAAAAGUACAUGUUUUUAGUUUUUUCCAAUUAUACCACACAGCUUAGAAGUAUAUACCAACAAAAAAUUUCAUGUAAGCUUCUUCUCCGUGUGUAACACAAAUAUGCUUCUUAUUUCAAGAAUGUCUACAUGGUGAAAAAAAUAUUAUUAUCUUUGGUUUUAGAAAGAGAACAACAACAAAACUUGAAGUUCUACGCAAAUCAUCCAAUCUUGAAGGCCAACAACAACAAGAGGCCAAGAACGGGGUAAGCAAAGGAUUCUAUGAUGAAGAGAACGACCACACAACAUGAUAGUCAGAAGCAAAACAUCUAAGCAUGACAACCAAGAGAAAAUCAUCCAAAGUGUUGACAAACAACAAGCUAUUCUAUCUAAGUUCCGCUUCGGUACAACCCUCUUAUAAAACGUAUAGAGAGCAAUAUGGACUUUUUGCCAUGUUGUAUCCACUUUUGUAUGUAUAAUGGAUCACUGGUCCAUACGUAUACGAGACAUAUUGUACUGGGUCGGGCCAUUAAGUCACUGAUGACGAAUUGAUGGAUAUACUUCCCGCCCCUCGUUGGUUACCCCAAGUGAAAGGUGGAGAUGUAGUCAGCAAUAGAUUUCCCUUACACGGAGGCUGUAAGGUUUAUCGAAUCAAGAGGACUUCUAGGCUCAACAAGUAGGUGUCUUCCACCCUGAAGCUAGAAGAAGACAUGGACCUACACUUACAACAAAUAACUUUGCUCCCAACGAGUACAGAGAGGUUGUCAAUCUCUCCGGCCUUGUAGUUUGCAAAGGACCAAAACACAAGCGGGAAGGUAAUAGUGAUUGCAAUGAAAAAUUAAAUGGUAGAGGUGUAAUCAACGAUGGUGAUAUGGACCGGAGUCACAUGAUAUUCACUAGUAAUGUCUCUCUCUCAAAAGACGAUAAACAACUAUGCUUGGGUAAACAAAUCACAGUUGGGCAAUUGACAGAAUUAUGACCGCACCGCAAUGCUAAUGAUGCUCCUUGAUAGUUACAGGUUCAAUAGUAAUGGGCAGUACGCCAAGAGUAGAUACUUACUAAUCAUCCACCUUGAGAUAUCUAUCUAGAACAUCUCUCCGGUAUUAAGUUGCGAGCCCCAUCCAAAGUGUAAACUCAAAGCAACGGAAAACUGCAUUAACAAACUAUGCGUAAGGUAAACAAUCCGUGCAACUGUGGUCACAAGCACCGUUGUUUUCUCCCUGGUAGCAACAAGCACAACCCCUAGUCUCAUGUUUCUGUCACUCAAGCUACACAUCGAGGGGCAUGAACCCACAAUCAUGCAUAAUGCUCCCUCUUGGAGUUACAAUCUACUACUUGGCAAAAGCAAUAAAUAGCAACAGAGAACAUGCAUGAAUCACUAAGGAACAUAAUAUAAAAGGAUAAUCAAAUAUAUAACUCAUAACACUCUGAACAUAAUCUCAUAAUCCAUCGGAUCCCAGCAAACCGAGCAUAGCAAUAGCAAGAGAAUCACAUAGAUGCCUUGAUCAUGUAGGACAGCUCACAAGGACUAACCAUUGAAGCACAAGAUUGGAGAGAAGACAUCACAUAGCUACUGGUCAUGGACUCAUGGUCCAAGGAGGACUACUCACGACACGACCGGGAAGCGUCCAUGGCGGUGGACAAGCUCCCAGAGGUUAAUCCUCCCUUCGGCAAGGUGCCGGGAAGAGGUCUCCUGAUGCUCCCGAUCUCGGAAGCGCUGCGGCGGCGUAACGAUGGAGAAAUUCGCGAUUGCAGAAAGUCCGCGAUGGUUUCCUCUCGAGACUCUAAAUAUAGGCGAAAGGAGGGCACCUGAGGAGGUGGGACCCACCCAGGCGACCUCCUGGCGCGGCCUAGGGCCUGGCCGCGCCAGCAAGCUGUCUGGGAGGCCCCUGGCCCAUCUUCGGUGAUCCGGAAGCUUCUGUUUUGCUGAUUUUUUGUAUGUUUUUUCUAGAAUUUUUCGGGCUUCAGAAAAUUUGGUAAAAGCCCCUGCAAAAUAGACAUCAGCAGACAGAAACUGGCACUGGGUGCAUGAUACGUCUCAAAGUAUCUAUAAUUUUUGAUGGUUUCAUGAUGUUAUCUUGUCAUCUUUGGAUGUUUUAUGUACCUUUUAUAUCUUUCUUGGGACUAACUUAUUAAUUCAGUGCCAAGUGCCAGUUCCUGUUUUUUCUGUGUUUUUGGCUCUUUUCAGAUCUGAUUUUGGAACGGAGUCCAAACGGAAUAAAAUCCCCGAAAUAAAUUUUUCCCGAACGGAAGAAGAUCAGGGGUCUUGAGGACCAAGCCAGGAGGGCUACAGGGGGCCCACAAGCCCCCCAUCCGCCACCAGGGGGGCGGUGGAUGGCAGGCUUGUGGCCUCCCUGGCGCCCCCUAACCUAGAUCCUUCGCCUAUAUAUUCCCUAAAAUACAGAAAAAAAAUUCAGGGGAUCCACGAAAAUACUUUUCCGCCGCCGCAAGCUUCCGUUUCUGCGAGAUCUCAUCUGGAGACCCUUCCCGGUGCCCUGCCGGAGGGGACUUUGGAGUUGGAGGACUUCUACAUCAACAUCAUCGCCCCUCCAAUGACUCGUGAGUAGUUCACUUCAGACCUACGGGUCCGUAGUUAGUAGCUAGAUGGCUUCUUCUCUCUCUUGGAUCUUCAAUACAAAGUUCUCCAUGAUCUUCAUGGAGAUCUAUCCGAUGUAAUCCUCUUUGGCGGUGUGUUUGUCGAGAUCCGAUGAAUUGUGGAUUUGUGAUCAGAUUAUCUAUGAUAUAUAUUUGAGUCUUUGCUUAUUUUUUAUAUGCAUGAUUUGAUAUCCUUGUAAGUCUCUCCGAGUCUUGGGUUUUGCUUGGCCAACUAGAUUUAUGAUUCUUGCAAUGGGAGAAGUGCUUGGUUUUGGGCUCUUACCGUGUGGUGACCUUUCCCGGUGACACUAGGGGCAGCAAGGCACACAUCGUGUAGUUUCCAUCAAGGGUAACAAGGUGGGCUUUGUCGUAGAUAUGAGAUUGUCCAUCUACAUCAUGUCAUCUUGCUUAAGGGGUUACUCUGUUCUUUUGGACUUAAUACACUAGAUGCAUGCUGGAUAGCGGUCGACGUGUGGAGUAAUAGUAGUAGAUGCAGAAAGUAUCGGUCUACUUGUUUUGGACGUGAUGCCUAUAGAUAUAAUCAUUGCCAUAGAUGACGUCACGACUUUGCGCGGUUCUAUCAAUUGCUCGAUAGUAAUUUGUUCACCCACCGUCUACUUGCUUUCAUGAGAGAAGCCACUAGUAAACACUACGGCCCCCGGGUCUAUUCACAUCUAUCGUUUCCACUUUUGCUUUUACUUUGCUUUGUUACUUUGUUGCUUUCAGUUCUCACUUGGCGAACAAUCUAUAAGGGAUUGACAACCCCUUCAUAGCGUUGGGAGCAAGCUUUUUGUGUUUAUGCAGGCACUUGUGAUACUCCUUCACUCGAUCGAUACCUUGGUUCUCAAACUGAGGAAAAUACUUACCACCGCUGUGCUACAUCACCCUUCCGCUUUGAGGGAACACUAAUGCAAGGCUCCAAGACCACGGGGGAAAUCCUUUGCAUAUUUGCCUAGGAAGUCUCUUAAGGCGUAGCCGUAGCAGAAGGAUUCCUGGUGCCGUUGCUGAGGAGUAUCAAGACAAGAACAGUCUCCCGUCAACACUCCUAUUUCUGGCGCCGUUGGAAGGUCUUUUGUUGCAGUAGCAGUGCACUGAGUUAGUAGGUUAGUCAAAAUAUGUGUAAAAUGAUAUAAAAGUGUAGCAAAACAUAUAACAAUGUCACCCAAAAGAUCAUGGAACAAGAAGAAAUUAUAAAUACGUUUGGGACGUAUCAACAUCCCCAAGCUUAAUUUCUGCUCGUCCUCGAGUAUAUAAAUGAUAACACAAUAAUUUCUGUGGUGACAUGCUAACACACAUAUAAGAACUUCAAAGUAAAGCAAGUGAGAUAUGCAAUUCAAGUCAAGACAAUAACAAGCAAGAGUCUAUAUCUAGUAUUGAAUUUAGCAAAGUAAGAACAUAAAGGUGCAAGAGUUCUCGCUGUGCGUGACUCGAAUGUCUCCAAAUGGUGUUUGCGUGCAAGAAGUGGGAGAUGGGUUGAGAUCAUAAAAUAUUUUUUAAUUGAGAACUCAAUCUACUAAACCUCACACUUAGUCUCCUUCGGAAUCCUAUUUUGACUCAUCCCCACACCACUAGCCAGGCACAAGUCAAAAUGAUCCUCUCCCUUUCGACUUUGAGCACUCAUGCAAUGGAUGAGCGUAAGCAAGAUAUGUUGGCACUUAGGAUAGAAUAAUGAUGGGGAAGGAAGACAAAAAAGAGUGAAAGGCUCACAUCAAUGAGGACAACCAUAGGCGAGAGAAAGCCAAAUGAUAGGUAUGAUGUGAGGAGUCGGGAUUGCCAUGUAAGAGAUGCACAUAUGAGCUAAGGUAAGCUCUCCAAUGGAACUAGUGGGGGUGCAUCCAACUUGUUUGCUCAUGAAGACCUAGAGAUCAUUUGAGGAGGCUCAUCAUUGGAAUAUGCAAACCAAGUUCUAUAGUGUAAGGGUCCCCACAUAGUCAUGCGUGAAUGAUAAUCUCUAUGUAGUACCAAUAUAGCAAUGGAGUACGAGUGUGGAUCUUUCAAAAGGAAUAGUAGGGAUGCCCCGUUCUCUCUUUUUUUAUUUGUGGCCUCUUUGGCUCUUUAUUUUUAUCUCUCAUUUGUCCUCUUUGGGAUCUUUUGUUUUUUCCACUUUGGGAUCUUUUCCUCACUUAAGGGCAACGCUCUAUGUUUUACACGAAUAAAAAGAAAAAUCAUCACACUUUAUAAGAAUUACUCAACAUAAAGACAAGUGAAAACUAUCAUGAUGUAUGCAAAUGUAUGCCUCUGCCAGUGUAGCAGGAUAUGCAAUGAUACUAGCGCGUCAUGUAGCAAUAAUUUGGGCAAGGACCAACUAUCAUGCGGCUCUAUGAUCAAGCAAAAGCAUGUAUGACAUGAAGAUCAAGUCAUGAGAUGGUGGAUGUUGCAUGGCAAUGUAUCUCGGAAAGGCUAUGAAAAUGCCUUAAUAGGUAGGUAUGGUGGCUAUUUUGAGGAAAGAUAUAAUGAGGCUUAUGUAUGACAGAGUGUAUCAUGUCAUGGGUUUGGAUGCACCGGCGGAGUUUGCACCAACUCUCAAUGUGAGAAAGGGCAAUGCACGGUACCGAAGAGGCUAGCAAAAUAUGGAUGGUGGAAGUGCCAACAAUCGAAUACUAAAAUUAGUCUCAAGAACUCAUACACUUAUUAUCGGUAACUCUCCAUCUAGUUAGGAAAUUCACAGAGAGACAAGUACCCCGAGGAGGAGUGUUUGGGGGUUUGGUUAUCAUUGCGCAUCCUCGACUCAUGGUAACGUGAGGGUACUCUAUAUAUUCCAACACCUCGAGAGGUUAGCGAUCAAUUUAGUAGCUAGAGUUCUCAACUAAUUUUAGUUUUUUGAAAAACACACGGAUUUACCAAAAUAAGACACCUAUCACUAAUAGGAUCAAGCUCUUGGCACCAAUAGUCCAAAUAUUAGUCAAAUCAAUACGUCAAAAUUAUUGCAAGUUACUACUAUACUUAAAUAGCAACCUCAAUUACCUACUCAUGCAAGACACACAAUUCAGUGCAACGAGCCAACUAUCUAAACAAGAUAAGCAUGAUAACUCAAAAGAGUUUCAGAAGCAACCUAAAUAAAAUCUCUUAAAAAUAUACACAUGAAAACUAAGAGCUAAACAUGAUAGUAGCUACGAAAAGAUAGAGAACACACAUAAAAGAUAAGCAUGAAAACCUGUGUUGUGUUCUAGAAUGGAAUGGAGCGUGUGUCUCUCCCAGACAAGGUAGGCUAGGUUCCGACUUGUUAUGAAUAGCAAGCAAAACUAAAACAAACUAAAAAGCAAAUAAUGAGACGCUCCAAGCAUAGCACAUAACAUAUGAAGUGAUAAAAAUAUAGCAUGGAGAUGGACGAACUGAUCAUUGUUGAUAGAGAAGGGGAUGUACGGGGGCAUCCCCAAGCUUAGAAGCUUGAGUCUCCUUGAAUAUUUCUUGGGAUGCAUGGGGGCAUACCCAAGCUUGAGCGCUUGACACUCAUGUAUCUUCUUUCAUCAUCUCUCCCAUCGCAUACUUGAAAACUCCCUUCAUACGAAACUCAUCAUAAGCUGAUUAGAGUGGUUGGUUCCCUUAAUAAAAUAAUACAUUACCUGCUGGAAAUAAAGAUUUUCAUGAAAAGCUACUUCUUAUCAUGAUUGCCAAAAGGUUUUUGCAAAUAAAAAGUAAGCUUAGGAUUUGCAAAACAAUGAAAACGCAAAACAUUGCAGAAUCUGUGAAAACAGAACAACAGGCAGUAAAUAAUUUAUUCGGGGUACUUCUGUAACUCAAAUCAAAAACCUCAGAACAUAUGUCAUAAAGGAAAUUAUAUAGAUCAUUAUGUCAAAAAAUGAAGAUCAAAAAUAUGAUCUGGUUAUUUAUGACGAAUUGUUCCGUCAAGCAGAUAGAAUCUGUUUCUGGACAACAUGUCAUAACUUUUGAUUUUUCUUGCAAUCGGAGGCUAUAACUUGGCACAAAGCUUAAAAAUAAAGAUACAGUGAUGUUGCUACAGUAGUAACAAGAAUCAAGACCACUAAAACAGAAAGUAAAAAAAUUGGGUUGCCUCCCAACAAGCGUUUUUUAUGCCUUUGAGCUAGGCAUAAUGCAAGAAGAUCAAGUGUUAUCAACUCCAAAAGAAUAACUUGCUCGAGUAACGGACUCAUAAGGUAACUUAAUAUUAUUUCUAGGGAAGUGUUCCAUUACCUUUUUAAGAGUAAAUUAGAAUUUAAUAAAUCCCUCUUUCAUGUCAAUGAUAGCACCAACGGUGCGGAGAUAAGGACGUCCCAAAAUAAUUGGACAUGAAGGAUCACAUUCAAUGUCCAUAAUAAGAAAAUCAACGGACACAUAAUUAUCAUUGACAAUAAUAAUAACAUCAUCAAUUCUCCCUGAAGGUUUCUUUAUGCAGUGCUCUGCGUAAACCCAUACUUCCACCGGACGGAGUCUGAUGUGCCUCGUGUUCGUCCAGUGUGUUCAGGAUUCCCGAGGGCCUUUCAUAGCUCAUCCUUCUAUUUGUCGGGAUGGAACCUCCCUUCUCGCACUUCCUUGAUUCCUUCGCUAAUCUUUAAUACGGGUGUUUCAAGUUGAUCUUUCAUGAAAACACACUUCCCUAUUUUUUGUUUCAAAGCUCCCAUGCCCGAAGAACCAAGUCCUUGACUGAUCGGGGCGGCGACCGCGACAAGUAGAGCACCCAGCAGAGGAGCUCACUCGAGGUGGCGAGCGAUUGAGACGGAGGGUCGACCAACGAUGAGGGGAGCACACGCGGACAUCAACGUCAGGGCAGGGCGCGGCGACGGCGACGUCGGGGCAGUCCGUGGCGGCGACGUCGAGGUAGGUCGGAUCCAGCGAGGGGUGUGGGGGACGGCGUUGGGGCAGGGCUCGGGGAGGCGACAACGAGGUCUCGCAGCCUGGCGGUGUCGAGGUGGUCGUCGGCACCGUCGGGGGAGAGGAGGAGAUCGAAGAAAGCUGAUGGAUUUGGAAAAUUUGCCAAGUGCCGCUUAUAUACCCCACCCUUUGGUCCUGGUUGGUGACUGCAACCGGGACUAAAGGCCCCCCUUUACUCCCAGUUGCAGCCAUCAGCCGAGACUUUUCAGCAGCGCAAAGGGCGGGAACCGCAUGCCUUUAGUCCGGGUUGAUGCCACCAACCGGGACUAAACGCGUGCGAGUGCCACGGCGUCGGGCGGUGAUGUUUAGUCCCACCUCGCUAGCUAAGAGGUGUCGAGAGUGGUUUAUAAGCGCGGCUGCGCCAACCUUCUCGAGCUCCUCUCUUAUGCAGGCCUACGGGCCUAAACACACUCUCUCUGCAUGUGGGCCUAGUGCGGGCAUGCAUCGUGGCUCAACUAGCGUGUAGGAUUUCUAGUCGUAUGCACGCCUUGGUGGCCCAUUAAGCAACAUUUGUUUUUAUUUUAGUUUGCUAUUCAAUAUUUUAGCAAAAAAACUUUAUGAAAAUUCUUUUUAGUUGAUAUUUUGUUUUGAUUAUUUUUAGUUCAUUCAUUUUAGUUAAUGUUUCACUUGAUUCUUUUGAGUUCAUUCUUUUUAGUUGAUUCUUUUUAGUUGAUUCUUUUUAACAAAUAAAUACUUUGAUAAUUUUAGUUAAUAUUUUAGUUGAUUAUUUUUAGUUUAUUCUUUUUAGUUCAUUCUUUUUAGAUAAUAUUUUAGUUGAUUCUUUUUAGUUCAUUCAUUUUAGUUGAUUCUUCUCAGUUCAUUCUUUUUAACAAAUAAAUACUUUGAUAAUUUUAGUUAAUAUUUUUUGGUUUCUUUUUAGUUCAUUCUUUUUAACAAAUCAAUACUUUGAUAAUUUUAGUUAAUACUAUUUUGAUUCUUUUUAGUUCAUUCUUUUUGCGAGCUCCGAUGCUGAGUCAUCAUCGUCACAAAUCUCGGAGGAGCUAGUGCGAUGCCAACCUCGAUCCACCUAACCCUGCAGCUCUGCCAGGUGGCCACAAAGACGGCCACCUCGUGCUUCAUCUUUGACGACAUGCUCUCCCUGUUAGGUGUUGCCUCCUUUAAAUAGUGGAUGCCGGUGAUGGCAAGCAUCCGCGUGCGUUAAUGCGCGGGCGCCGGAGUUUGUUUCUCAGCCGGUGAGCAUGUAUAAUGGUGGCACACGGAGGGACGGGCAUGGUAGAUAUCCGUCCCUCCCCGUUUAGUAAAUGCCGUCUCUCUGAAAUUGAACAAGCUCGAACAUCAGGGACGCAGCAAGGGGUGCGCCCUCGGCCGGCGAGCUGCUUCACUGCUGAUGCUAGCGAGAGGCCACGUCCUCUUUGGGCCGACAUCAAUGAAGAAGGCCACUUUAGAAUUUUCGGUCCUCCCACCACCCAUAUAAUCACCAAUGCUAGUGCAUCUGGACGUAACCGACAUGGAUGAACAUGUCAGCGAAACAAUGCUGCAUACACUAAUUUUGUAUACACUAAUUUUGAAAUUGAUAUAUAGAGGUCGGGAGUGAUCCUCCUUUUCAGAAAAGAUGCUGAAAAAUAGGCCUUUGUUGUUGAGGAAGAAAAGAUUUGAUGAGGUGCCAUCCUUAUGCAUCAGUAAAAUUUGCUCAACAUCCAUAGUACAUAUUGUACCCGAAACAUGAUCAAUUGGAAUCCAUAUAGUUAAGUCUACAUACGAUGCUCUCACGAAAUGUACAUGUGGUUUGUUGGUGAAAACUUUAAUAUGCAUCGACUGCAGAAAAAUUUACCCACAACGAACACAACAAACAUCUCAUCACCUCGAAACACGAGCGGUUGCGUGAACAUGGUAAAAAAGUACCAUACUAUCAAUAACUUGUGUGCAUGAACAAGCAAAGAUGACCAUCAAAGGAACAAAUAUGUGAACUAAUUGAGAGGAAUUCAUAUAUUUUUUACGUACGUUGUAAUGCUAUCGACCACAAUGUUGUCGGCCGCCACUAGCAUGUCAUAUUUGGGAGCCCAACCACAUUCCACAUCAUCCCUUAUAAAUAUGAAAACAUGGCACUUAUUUAUUUUCCUUUUAUCAACUCCAACUACCAUCUGCCUAGUGCGGAUCUACCAACUAGGAAACUGUGCCAUUUAGUGGUGUUGUUGGCAAAGCAUUAUUCUUUCUUACGUCUAAUAUAGUAGAUACACAUUAUUUUCAACCUACUAAACCAAACAUGACCUAUAACCAUGUACUUGUUCCUGCAACAUAUAAUGGAUACAUUAUUGUAUAUGGAACCAAGAGAUUAGUCACUGUCUCUUCAAUUUUGUUAACAGUAGUUCAUCACAAAUUUUUGCUAGUACUAAUAAUUUCUCUCAUUAGAUUCGUAUGCAUUUUGAACCGAGACCAUACAAGAAUCAACCAACAUAAUUAAGCCUAAGAAAUCAAAAUUGCCAAUAUAUAUUUGCAACAAAAAGGGACGAAAAGAACAUUGAAGAGAGUUUUUGGUUGAGUACAUAGAGUUUGCACCACCAUCCUUAGGGCAUCUCCAAUGCUGACCCGCAAACUAGUCACUCCAUCCGUCCAUGGACAGGAGGACCAGUCCAUGGACUCGGAUACGGGAGGUCGUCAUCCAAUGCUAUCCACAUACAUUUCAAAACAGGUUUAAACAAACCAGNNNNNNNNNNNNNNNNNNNNNNNNNNNNNNNNNNNNNNNNNNNNNNNNNNNNNNNNNNNNNNNNNNNNNNNNNNNNNNNNNNNNNNNNNNNNNNNNNNNNUUCCCCCCUUGCCGGCAUCUUUGGAGUGGCUCCCGCCUUUGUGUUUCCUUCUUCUUUGCAAAUGGUCCCCCAGCGGUAGUACCGCUGGCCCUAGCGGUAGUACCGCUAGCCCUAGCGGUAGUACUGCUGGAGUGCUAGCGGUAGUACCGCUGCAGCCAGCGGUAGUACCGCUAGCCCUAGCGGUAGUACUGCUGGAGUGCUAGCGGUAGUACCGCUGCAGCCAGCGAUAGUACCGCUAGCUGGCGGUAGUACCGCCCCUGGUCAGCGGUGGUACCGCUCUAGGAGCUUAGUACCGCCUGCCUAGCGAUCGUGGACGGACCUUUUUGCGAAAACUUUCUUGGCGGUGGUAGUGCUUAUGCACUACCACGGGCCCAGCGGUAGUACCAGCCAGCGGUAGUACCGCUGCAUCCAGCGGUAGUACCGCUAGACUCGGGCUGUGAGUGGGAAAACGGUUGGAUUCCCCCCCCCACUAUAUAAAGGGUUCUUCUAGCUGUGGAACCCUAUCUCUUACCCUCUCAAGCUCCAUUGUUGCUCCCUAAGCUCAAAAGUGCCCGAUCUCUCUCCCUAGCCAAUCAAACUUGUUGAUNNNNNNNNNNNNNNNNNNNNNNNNNNNNNNNNNNNNNNNNNNNNNNNNNNNNNNNNNNNNNNNNNNNNNNNNNNNNNNNNNNNNNNNNNNNNNNNNNNNNGAGUAGUUCGUCGUGUAAAGCAACCCAAAGUAAAAUAGAGUGAAGUUCAAGUGGACAUGGCGAGAAGGUCCAAUUCUUCACGCGGUGCAUUUUUGAAGGCUUUGUUUCGCGAUAAAGUCAGAAAGCAUGAUAUUGUUGUUUUCGCGAUUGCUUGAAAACGGCUAGGAAUCAGAGAAAACCAUCUACAUAAAAAAGGUUCACAUUUUUCGUAGCUUUCGAAUGAUAUAUUAUUUUCUCCAUUUCAAUAAAGUUUGUAAAUAUUACGGCCAAAAAAAAUUAGCCAUUUUUAAAACUGACAUAAAAUCGUAAGGAAUUGGAAAAAACAAUCUACAUAUAAAAGUUUCGCAUUUUUUCAAGAUCUCCAACGCCAUAUCAUUUGCUCCAUUCUGAGAAACCGUUGAGAAAUUAAAGCAAAAAUACAAACUUGGUACAACUUCUGCUGAUUUCUAAUUACUUUUAAACCAUUAAUAGUUGGAAGAAACUUGUUAUAUGAAAAACAACGCAUUUUCAUAAGCUUUCAAACGCCGUAUCACUUGCGUCGAUCGGACUAGCUGNUUUUUAAAUUAACCCUAAAAUAGGAAGCCAGUUGUUCGAUUUCAGAAAUUCCGACAUUUUUGAAAUUCCUCUUUAACCGUAUGGAAUUCGAAAAGACAUUCAACAUAUGAAAUGAGGGGAUUUACAACAGCUAUUNNNNNNNNNNNNNNNNNNNNNNNNNNNNNNNNNNNNNNNNNNNNNNNNNNNNNNNNNNNNNNNNNNNNNNNNNNNNNNNNNNNNNNNNNNNNNNNNNNNNUGUAUCCCGAAGUUCACACCCUUGCGGAUGCUAAUCUUCGUUAGAGCGGUGUGGAGGCACAAUGCUCCCCAAGAUGCCACUAAGGCCACCGUAAUCUCCUCACGCCCUCGCACAAUGCAAGAUGCCGUGAUUCCACUAAGGGACCCUUGAGGGCGGUCACUGAACUCGUACAAAUGGCAAACCUUGGGGGCGGUCACCGAACCCGUACACGUGGCAACCCUUGGGGCGGUUACCGCUACCCGUACAAAUUGCUCGGGGCUAUCUCCACAACCUAAUUGGAGGCCCCGACGCUUGCCCGGAGCUUCACACCACAAUGAUUGAGCUCCGAGUCACCACCAAGCUUCUAGGAUGCCAAAGUAUCCACGAAGAACAAUAUGUAGGGUACUAAGUACCAAAGGUAGUAAGCUUCUCAACUUCUCACUUCCACGUAUCACCGUGGAGAACUCAAACCGAUGCAACUAAUGCAAUGGCAAGAACACACGAAGUGGUCAAGUCCCUCAAACUCAAAUCCCUCCACAACAACAAAAGCUAUGGAGAAAUAUGAGAGAAAGAACAAGGAGCUCACAAAGAACUCCAAGAUCUAGAUCCAAGGGGUUCCCCUCACAUAGAGGAGAAAGUGAUUGGUGGAGAUGUGGAUCUAGAUCUCCUCUCUCUUUUCCCUCAAGAACAAGCAAGAAUCAUUGGAGGGAUUGAGAGUUAGCAAGCUCUAAGAAUGUCAACAAUGGAGGUAGAACAAGAGCUCAACAGAUGGAUAAAACCAAGNNNNNNNNNNNNNNNNNNNNNNNNNNNNNNNNNNNNNNNNNNNNNNNNNNNNNNNNNNNNNNNNNNNNNNNNNNNNNNNNNNNNNNNNNNNNNNNNNNNNGAAGAACCACCUUACCAUUUUAUAUAACAGGCAGAGGGGGAGCAGCAGCAGGUGGUGUCCCAUAGAACUUGUUCAAUCAGCGAACAUGGAAGGCAUCAUUAAUCCGAGCUCCAGCCGGAAGGUCCAAUCUGUAUGCCACAAAUCUAAUGUAUUCAAGGACUUUGUACGGACCAUAGAACCUAGCGGCAAGCUUGCCAUAAGUCUGUCCUAGAACUGAUGUUAUUGGCCAUCGAUGUAGGCAUCAUGAUGGCAUCGAUGACGAAGAGGCUUAGCAAAGUCGGCGAGUUAGUUUCUGCUUUAAAGAUUGAUUGGUGAAGGACGACAGCGACGACACAAGUAAGUGCGUCGGACCGGUUUGUAUCCAGUAUGUGUCUUUGUUGAGUCAUUUGACUUUACAUGUUAGGCUUUGGUGUGAUGUUUAUUUGAUAUUAGGCUCGGACUAUCGGCACCCCUUCAUUAAAUGGAUAGGAGUAGCGACAUNAUAUUUCUAAAAUGAUGGCUUCAGACUAUCUAAUGUACUAUUUUGUAAUGUAUUUAUGAAUAAUUAAUAAAGUGACUAUAUGCAUCGCCUAGAUGCAUAGGCCGAGGAUAAUCCUCCUUUUUAAAAAAUACAUGUUUUUAGUUUUUUCCAAUUAUACCACACAACUUAAAAGUAUAUACCAACAAAAAAUUCCAUGUAAGCUUCUUCUCCGUGUGUAGCAUAAAUAUGCCUUCUCUAUUCUUAUUUCAAGAAUGUCUACAAGGUGAAAAAUAUAUUAUUAUCUUUNNNNNNNNNNNNNNNNNNNNNNNNNNNNNNNNNNNNNNNNNNNNNNNNNNNNNNNNNNNNNNNNNNNNNNNNNNNNNNNNNNNNNNNNNNNNNNNNNNNNAGAUUAAAAUGAAGAAGUUCGAAUGAAAAAGCUGAGAAGAUCAAAUUAAACUAGUGAAAUUCCUUACAUGCAAAACGGACCAGUUUUAUUUUCCAUGUUUAUAAAGUAAAUACAUAGAAGUUCAAAAUAGAAAAAUUGAGAAUGUUAAAAUAAAAUAAUGGAGUAGUUCGUCGUGUAAAGCAACCCAAAGUAAAAUAGAGUGAAGUUCAAGUGGACAUGGCGAGAAGGUCGAAUUCUUCACGCGGUGCAUUUUUGAAGGCUUUGUUUCGCGAUAAAGUCAGAAAGCAUGAUAUCGUUGUUUUCGAGAUUGCUUGAAAACGGCUAGGAAUCAGAGAAAACCAUCUACAUAAAAAAGGUUCACAUUUUUCGUAGCUUUCGAAUGAUAUAUUAUUUUCUCCAUUUCAAUAAAGUUUGUAAAUAUUACGGCCAAAAAAAUUUAGCCAUUUUUAAAACUGACAUAAAAUCGUAAGGAAUUGGAAAAAACAAUCUACAUAUAAAAGUUUCGCAUUUUUUCAAGAUCUCCNAACGCCAUAUCAUUUGCUCCAUUCUGAGAAACGUUGAGAAAUUAAAGCAAAAAUACAAACUUGGUACAACUUCUGCUGAUUUCUAAUUACUUCUAAACCAUUAAUAGUUGGAAGAAACUUGUUAUAUGAAAAACUGCGCAUUUUCAUAAGCUUUCAAACGUCGUAUCACUUGCGUAGAUCGGACUAGCUGUUUUUAAAUUAACCCUAAAAUAGGAAGCCAGUUGUUCGAUUUCAGAAAUUCCGACANNNNNNNNNNNNNNNNNNNNNNNNNNNNNNNNNNNNNNNNNNNNNNNNNNNNNNNNNNNNNNNNNNNNNNNNNNNNNNNNNNNNNNNNNNNNNNNNNNNNCACGAAAUUGAACAGCUUUAGCUAGAGUUUUUAGUGUGUUCAAAAGACGCUCUUAACCCAUUAUGAUUUUAUAAAAUAAAAUGCUUGUCAAUAGUUUUUUAUUGAUUUCAUUUGCUAAAAUUUGAUGAGUGCUUAAAGAGUUAGGGGCAAAAGAAAUUACAGAUCAGUUCAAAUUGAAACAACCGGAAGUCCACGUACUACAUGGUGUGUGUUUUCAUAUGAGAAAAAGGAAUAAAAAUAGUAUAAAAAGUUUGUUGCUAGAAGGUCAAGUGCUAUGCCUGGGGAAGUUCAAAAAUUCUUAUGAGAGAGGUUCACCUUAUGCUUUUCGUUGGUAUAUCAUUUGCUCAAUUCCGGUUCAUGGAUGGAGUGUAACGAGCAAAAAACAACACGUGGAAAGUAGAGUAAGUUCAAGUGAACAUGGGGAGAAGGUCAAGUUCUUCACACGGUGCAUUUUUUUAUAACACAUCCGCUUUAUAAAUCAUCUAGACAUAAUGUCCAUACAAAUAGUUUGCCGGAUGCAUUCCGGAGACACACCAUGCCAAACACGGCACCCUAGCUGAUUACAAGAGCGAGNNNNNNNNNNNNNNNNNNNNNNNNNNNNNNNNNNNNNNNNNNNNNNNNNNNNNNNNNNNNNNNNNNNNNNNNNNNNNNNNNNNNNNNNNNNNNNNNNNNNNNNNNNNNNNNNNNNNNNNNGGGGGGGAACCAUGUAAAAAUUCACGUGAGAAGCUCAACAUUGGAAAACACACGAAAUUCAAAUGAAAACAAAAUGGAGAAAGUAUCAUGACACAAAAAAANNNNNNNNNNNNNNNNNNNNNNNNNNNNNNNNNNNNNNNNNNNNNNNNNNNNNNNNNNNNNNNNNNNNNNNNNNNNNNNNNNNNNNNNNNNNNNNNNNNNUACUAUUUGAUUGACGCGACACCUUGAAGCUAGUUUGCAUAUGACAAAUAACAAAACAUAAUAGUGUGUCGCAGGUAUAUUACACAUUGGCUCAUGAUUCCUGAGCGGAGGGGUGAGGAUCUUCUGGUCGGUUGCUCGACUCAUAUCACUAGCUAGCUCAAUGGCGUCAGAUUCUUGCGGACACAAACAAAUACUAAUGGAUAGAUACAGAAUGCUCCAACACGGUGCCUGGUUUAUAGCCACUACGUCUCGCCUUCACUAGGAAGGGUGGUUUUAGCCACACAUGCCUUUUCCACCUAGGAAGGGUGCCUCUAGGAUCACUCCAUGCGAUGCCUUCGCCCGAGCAGUCCCCAUGGAAUGAAAUUGGUAGUUCUUGGCUUGUUGCAUCAUUUGGUUAGCACAUAUGUUGGUUUGCUAGGAAUUAAGGGUAUUUGAUUAGCUUACUCUCAACCUUUGUGAAUUGUGAUGGACCUUUAUGCGGGUAUUUUGAUUUGAAUGAUUUCUGCAGGGAUUUUGUUGAGUUAGAAUAUCUAGUAUUCCCCGGGUCCAUAAUCUACUAUAGUUUGGAUAUUGCCACAAUCUCCAUUAUGUAUCGUUAACCUUUAUCUUGAAAAAAGCAUGGAAUUUAUAUUAUAAAUAAAAGGGAAAUUCAAUUUUUCAUAUAUCUGUACCCAAAAUUAGAAAAUGUUGAAUACAAGCCUUUCUAGGAAGUCAUGCGUUUAUGAAAACUAUAUUUUGUGUGUAAGAUUUUGAUUGUAGGGUUGUCAAUUUUAUCCAAAGAACCCAUUGUACCAUGCCCCAUAAAAGUUUCCCAUUAACUUAUACCUCUUAGGGGGGNNNNNNNNNNNNNNNNNNNNNNNNNNNNNNNNNNNNNNNNNNNNNNNNNNNNNNNNNNNNNNNNNNNNNNNNNNNNNNNNNNNNNNNNNNNNNNNNNNNNUACUAUUUGAUUGACGCGACACCUUGAAGCUAGUUUGCAUAUGACAAAUAACAAAACAUAAUAGUGUGUCACAGGUAUAUUACACAUUGGCUCAUGAUUCCUGAGCGGAGGGGUGAGGAUCUUCUGGUCGGUUGCUCGAUCACAGGUCGCCGCCGCCUCACCUCGCGUCCCCCCGCCUUUUGCCAUUCCACGACUCAUAUCACUAGCUAGCUCAAUGGCGUCAGAUUCUUGCGGACACAAACAAAUACUAAUGGAUAGAUACAGAAUGCUCCAACACGGUGCCUGGUUUAUAGCCACUACGUCUCGCCUUCACUAGGAAGGGUGGUUUUAGCCACACAUGCCUUUUCCACCUAGGAAGGGUGCCUCUAGGAUCACUCCAUGCGAUGCCUUCGCCCGAGCAGUCCCCAUGGAAUGAAAUUGGUAGUUCUUGGCUUGUUGCAUCAUUUGGUUAGCACAUAUGUUGGUUUGCUAGGAAUUAAGGGUAUUUGAUUAGCUUACUCUCAACCUUUGUGAAUUGUGAUGGACCUUUAUGCGGGUAUUUUGAUUUGAAUGAUUUCUGCAGGGAUUUUGUUGAGUUAGAAUAUCUAGUAUUCCCCGGGUCCAUAAUCUACUAUAGUUUGGAUAUUGCCACAAUCUCCAUUAUGUAUCGUUAACCUUUAUCUUGAAAAAAGCAUGGAAUUUAUAUUAUAAAUAAAAGGGAAAUUCAAUUUUUCAUAUAUCUGUACCCAAAAUUAGAAAAUGUUGAAUACAAGC